AAUGAACGCUGGCGGCAGGCCUAAAACAUGCAAGUCGAACGCCCUAGCAAUAGGGAGUGGCGCACGGGUGAGUAACAUGUGGGAAUAUGCCUUUUGGUACGGAACAACGUUUGGAAACGAACGCUAAUACCGUAUGGUCCCUCCGGGGUAAAGAUUUAUCGCCAAAAGAUUAGCCCGCACUAGAUUAGCUAGUUGGUAGGGUAAUGGCUUACCAAGGCGACGAUCUAUAGCUGUUCUGAGAGGAAGAUCAGCCACACUGGGACUGAGACACGGCCCAGACUCCUACGGGAGGCAGCAGUUAGGAAUAUUGGACAAUGGGCGCGAGCCUGAUCCAGCCAUGCCGCGUGAGUGAUGAAGGCCUUCGGGUUGUAAAGCUCUUUAGCCGACGAAUAUAAUGACUGUAGUCGGAGAAUAAGCCCCGGCUAACUUCGUGCCAGCCGCCGCCGUAACAC
rnacentral:rRNA from 1 species